UAUUGGUGAAGACGGGUGCACCCUCUUGCCCCUUAAAAGCUCCGUCCCUGCCUCCCUGGGCUUGGUUUCGUGAUUGAAAAUCACCAAACUUUAGCCUAAACAUAUGGUUAAUGUUGUCACGUAUUACCUCCGCAUUGGUGAAAUAUCUUUCUAUUUUGACUAAACAACCUUUCAAAGCCUCCAUUUGCGCCACUGGUUCAUCUCGCGCGGCCGUGCAAUUUUCAUGCAUAUAUGUGUAGCUAAAUUCAUCAUACAAAUAGAUGGGAGGAUUGUUCUUUUAGCGGCGAAAGGUGGAAGUUGUUAAAGCAAGAGAGAGAGAGAGAGAGAGAGAGAGAGAGAGAGAGAGAGAGAGAAGAGAAGCGACAAGGAAGAAAGAGGAUCCGAGAUGUUCCGUUCGCCGGUCACGACGGAGCGGUGGUGGUUUGGGGUGGAGGUGGAGGUGGAGGGUUUCGUUGUUUAUUCAAAUCAACUCAAAAGAUCAAGAUCGUACACAUAAUUAUGAUAGUUCAGGAAGAUGUUAACAACCAAGAACAAAUAUGCGGAGAUCACUAAAGGCAUCGAUGGCUUACAAUAAGUCAUCCUACUUGAAAUUCACGGCAGCAGUGUUGAGUCAGGUUACUUUCAAGAGGGAAAAGUGAAAACUCCAACGACUCUACAAUAUCGAAAGGCUUGUAAUGUUGAUGGAAGCGGUGCUAAUCUCUAGCAGCGGAAACUCCAACGACUGCAAAUUAGAUGAAUGAUGAUUAUAGUGUUCCAUAGACUUAAAAAAUGAGAAUACUUAUGGCCAUGAGAUAUAAAAUCAAUACAUUUUUCGACUUGGAACUUCAUCUAUGUAGCCUACCAGAAGUAUUACUUUCUAUAUUAUUUGUUUUCUUGUGAC
rnacentral:lncRNA from 1 species